GAUGAACGCUGGCGGCGUGCCUAAUACAUGCAAGUCGAGCGAACAGACGAGGAGCUUGCUCCUCUGACGUUAGCGGCAGACGGGUGAGUAACACGUGGAUAACCUACCUAUAAGACUGGGAUAACUUCGGGAAACCGGAGCUAAUACCGGAUAAUAUAUUGAACCGCAUGGUUCAAUAGUGAAAGACGGUUUUGCUGUCACUUAUAGAUGGAUCCGCGCCGCAUUAGCUAGUUGGUAAGGUAACGGCUUACCAAGGCAACGAUGCGUAGCCGACCUGAGAGGGUGAUCGGCCACACUGGAACUGAGACACGGUCCAGACUCCUACGGGAGGCAGCAGUAGGGAAUCUUCCGCAAUGGGCGAAAGCCUGACGGAGCAACGCCGCGUGAGUGAUGAAGGUCUUCGGAUCGUAAAACUCUGUUAUUAGGGAAGAACAAGUGUGUAAGUAACUAUGCACGUCUUGACGGUACCUAAUCAGAAAGCCACGGCUAACUACGUG
rnacentral:rRNA from 1 species